rnacentral:rRNA from 1 species
UACAGAGGUCUCAAGCGUUGUUCGGAUUCAUUGGGCGUAAAGGGUGCGUAGGUGGCGAGGUAAGUCGGAUGUGAAAUCCCGGGGCUCAACCCCGGAACUGCACUCGAUACUGCUUGGCUAGAGUACUGGAGAGGAGAUUGGAAUUUACGGUGUAGCAGUGAAAUGCGUAGAUAUCGUAAGGAAGACCAGUGGCGAAGGCGGAUCUCUGGACAGUUACUGACACUGAGGCACGAAGGCCAGGGAGCAAACGGG